rnacentral:rRNA from 1 species
CCGUGAAAAAAUUAGAGUGUUCAAAGCAGGCAGAUCCAAUUUUCUGCCACCGAAUACAUUAGCAUGGGAUAAUGGAAUAGGACCCUGUCCUCCUAUUUUCAGUUGGUUUGCCGCGAGGACCAGGGUAAUGAUUAAUAGGGAUAGUUGGGGGCAUUAAUAUUUAAUUGUCAGAGGUGAAAUUCUUGGAUUUAUGAAAGAUUAACUUCUGCGAAAGCAUCUGCCAAGGAUGUUUUCAUUAAUCAAGAACGAAAGUUAGGGGAUCGAAGACGAUCAGAUACCGUCGUAGUCUUAACCAUAAACGAUGCCGACCAGCGAUUAGGAGACGUUGAAUACAAAACACCACCAUGCGCAUUGCGGUCGUCUUUGGUGUCGCUCACAAGGCGGCACCGGGGCGGC